UACUGUUGAUGAUGCAAAUCAAAAUACAAUGGGAAUCUCUCUGAGAUGCAGUGAAAGAAAUAUGACAAUUACUGAACCAGUA